rnacentral:misc_RNA from 1 species
GAGCUCUGCAAGCCUCUCCGAACUUCGCCAGCAUUUGCAUGCUCCUGGGUCACUGGCUCGACAUGUGCUUGCCUCUCUUGCCAAUCGGUGUCCUUGGUUUGACACAAUAUUUGGGAAAUCUAUUUAUCGGUUGGCUGUUUAGUUUGCAUGUGCUUUGGUUGGCUAAAGUUUUCCAUAUAUUACCUUCCCUGCGUGUUCAUU